rnacentral:rRNA from 1 species
GUGCCAGCAGCCGCGGUAAUACGAAGGGGGCUAGCGUUGCUCGGAAUUACUGGGCGUAAAGGGCGCGUAGGCGGCCCUGUUGGUCAGGCGUGAAAUUCCUGGGCUCAACCUGGGGGCUGCGCUUGAUACGGCGGGGCUGGAGGGCGGAAGAGGCUCGCGGAAUUCCCAGUGUAGAGGUGAAAUUCGUAGAUAUUGGGAAGAACACCGGUGGCGAAGGCGGCGAGCUGGUCCGUACCUGACGCUGAGGCGCGACAGCGUGGGGAGCAAACAGGAUUAGAUACCCUGGUAGUCC